rnacentral:sRNA from 1 species
UGCAAGGGUGAGCCUUAGAAUAAGGCGAAUAACCUGCGCUUAGGUUCGAGCCGAGCGAAGCGAGACAGCAACGCGUCAGCGCUGAUCCUGAAGGCUGAGUCAUUCUGCAAGACCCACCA